rnacentral:lncRNA from 1 species
GACAUCAGAAUACAACUCAAUGCACCUCACGCCAUUAGACAGCAUGAGUGACCAGCCACAGGGAGGAUAUAUCAGACAGCACCAGAUCUUAGCUGGUAGGAAGCUGAUUGACAAGUUCUGUGGAGGACAGAGCAGCAGAGCCCUGAAGUCCACAGUAAUAAGGGGAAGAUGGUGUUCUAGACACACCAGCAGGGAAGAGCCAAACCUGGAUGGUCAGUUUGACCUCCCAGGGUAAGGAGCCUCUGGGUCUUCUCUACCUCUCCCAGGACCACCACAGUGAAACUAGAGCCAGAGGGUUCUUUGCUGAAAAGAGGGUGAGGGAGAUGGAGAGAUGCAGAUGAGAGGAGGCUUUGUGCAGAAGCCAUCAGGUUUUGCCAUAUCUAAAGCCUGGAAAAAGGAGGAUACCAGCUGAUAGGAUUUGGCUCUAUGUCCCCAACCAAAUCUCAUGUGGCAUUGUAAUCCCCACGUGUUGGAGGAGGGACCUGGUGAGAGGUGAUUGGAUCAUGGGGGCAGUUUUAAUGGUUUAGUGCCAUCCCCCUAGUGCUGUCUCCCGAUGGAAUUCUCAUGCGAUCUGGUUGUUUAAAAGUGUGUAGACUUCUCCCUUCUUCUCUUUCUCCUGCUGCCAUGUGAAGAAGGUCCUUGCUUCCCCUUCGCCUUCUGCCAUGAUUAUAAGCUUCCUGAGGCCUCCCAGUCAUGCUUCCUGUUAAGCCCGCAGAACUGUGAGUCAAUUAAACUUCUUCUCUUCAUGAA